rfam:Citrus clementina cultivar Clemenules unplaced genomic scaffold scaffold_1, whole genome shotgun sequence.
AUACCAUGUUGAAGGCAUCUCCUGAGUAACUCCUUAAAUAUUUCCCAUGCAUCAUACAAACUUUCAUCUUCGAGUUUAUGGAAAGAUGUGAUCGCAUUCCUCAACUU